rnacentral:rRNA from 1 species
GACGAACCACACGAACGUUAUUCGGAAUUACUGGGCUUAAAGGGUGCGUAGGCUGUGCGGAAAGUUAGGUGUGAAAUCCCCGGGCUCAACCUGGGAAUGGCAUUUGGGACUGCAAGGCUGGAGUUUGGCAGAGGAGACUGGAAUUCCUGGUGUAGCAGUGAAAUGCGUAGAUAUCAGGAGGAAUACCGAUGGCGAAGGCAGGUCUCUGGGCUAUAACUGACGCUCAUGCACGAAAGCGUGGGGAGCAAACAGG